rnacentral:rRNA from 1 species
UUUAAGGUCUAAUCUGCCCUAUGAGGAAUUAAAUGGCCGCGGUACUUUGACCGUGCAAAGGUAGCAUAAUAAUUAGUUUUUUAAUUGAAAGCUGGAAUGAAUGAUUGGACGAGAAAAUAACUGUUUCAAUUUAAUUUUUUUUUAGAAUUUUAUUUUUAAGUUAAAAAGCUUAGAUUUUAUUAAAAGACGAGAAGACCCUAUAGAGUUUUAUAUUUGAUAAAUUAUUAAUUUUUAAGUUUAUUUUUAUUGAUAUUUUAUUAUAUAUUUUAUUGGGGCGAUAGAGAAAUAUUAUUAACUUUUUUUAGUUUAAAUUCAUUAAUUUAUGAUUGAUUGAUCCAUUAUUUAUGAUUAUAAGAAUAAGUUACCUUAGGGAUAACAGCGUAAUUUUUCUUUAGAGUUCUUAUCGAAAGAAGGGAUUGCGACCUCGAUGUUGGAUUAAAGUUAAUAUUUGGUGUAGAAGCUAAAUAAUUAGGUCUGUUCGACCUUUGAAACUUUACA